CCACUUCGCGAAGAUAAAGUCAUCUCCUACAUCCUCACAGGGUUAGAUGCAGAAUACAACCCUCUUGUUACAUCGAUGACAACUAGAGUAGAUGGCAUCAACCUCAAUGAACUUUAUGCUCAUCUUCUCUCCUUUGAGG